rnacentral:rRNA from 1 species
UACGAAGGGUGCAAGCGUUAAUCGGAAUUACUGGGCGUAAAGCGUGCGUAGGCGGUUGUUUAAGUCUGCUGUGAAAUCCCCGGGCUCAACCUGGGAAUGGCAGUGGAUACUGGACAGCUAGAGUGUGUCAGAGGAUGGUGGAAUUCCCGGUGUAGCGGUGAAAUGCGUAGAGAUCGGGAGGAACAUCAGUGGCGAAGGCGGCCAUCUGGGACAACACUGACGCUGAGGCACGGAAGCGUGGGGAGCAAACAGG